rnacentral:rRNA from 1 species
GGGAGGUAGUGACAAUAAAUAACAAUACGGGGUUCUUUAGGAUUUCGUAAUUGGAAUGAGUACAAUUUAAAUCUCUUAACGAGGAACAAUUGGAGGGCAAGUCUGGUGCCAGCAGCCGCGGUAAUUCCAGCUCCAAUAGCGUAUAUUAAAGUUGUUGCAGUUAAAAAGCUCGUGGUUGAAUUUCGGGAUCAAUUUAUCGGUCGUGCCUCUGGUAUGCACUGGUAUUAUUGAUUUCUACCUUCUGACGAACCAUGAUGUCAUUAAUUUGGUGUCAUGGGGAAUCAGGACUGUUACUUUGAAAAAUUAGAGUGUUUAAAGCAAGCACACGCUUGAAUACAUUAGCAUGGAAUAAUGAAAUAGGACGUUUGACCCUAUUUUGUUGGUUUCUAGGAUCGACGUAAUGAUUAAUAGGGAUAGUUGGG